CUCCGUUGGGUAAACUCGCAACGAUAUACGUGCAAGGUGCUGUCGAACUUUUAUACGGCGGAGAAGCAUUGCUGCAAACACGUUUUAUUAGGUUUGGGCUGAAGAACGCUUUGUAAGUAGCCCAUCAAGAAGCUCUGGAAAGCAACUAUCAGUUCACGGCUAGGAAUCCGACGCCAAACCAUGCAUUUAUUAUAUUAAAACUGAAUAAACACCUUUGUAAUUACUUGUUGUUUGUUUUGAUAUUAUGUGAUGAUGAUUAAG